rnacentral:rRNA from 1 species
AUGGUGAGGGCGCUGUCACUGGCGCCCAGCCUCGCCGGGCCGCUCCUCCGGAUGCACUUCCACGACUGCUUCGUCAGGGGGUGCGACGGCUCGGUUCUGCUGGACUCGGCCAACAAGACGGCGGAGAAGGACGCGCAGCCGAACCAGACGCUGCGAGGCUUCGGCUUUGUCGAGAGGGUGAAGGCCGCGGUGGAGAAGGCCUGCCCCGACACCGUCUCCUGCGCCGACAUCCUCGCCCUCAUUGCCAGGGACGCAGUAUGGCUGAGCAAGGGUCCAUUCUGGACAGUUCCUCUCGGCCGGCGAGACGGCAGCGUGUCCAUUUCCAACGAGACCGACGCUCUGCCACCCCCGACCUCCAACUUCACCGUGCUCACCCAGCUCUUCGCCGCCGUGAACCUCGACGCAAAGGACCUUGUCGUCUUGUCCGCCGGGCACACCAUCGGGACGUCGCACUGCUUCUCCUUCUCCGACCGGCUCUACAACUUCACCGGCAUGGAGAACCCCAGCGACAUCGACCCCACGCUGGAGCCGCAGUACAUGAUGCGGCUAAAGAGCAAGUGUGCCAGCCUCAACGACAACACCACCCUCGUGGAGAUGGACCCCGGCAGCUUCAAGACCUUCGACACCGACUACUUCAAGCUGGUGAGCAAGCGGAGGGGCCUCUUCCACUCCGACGGCGCCCUCCUCACCGACCCCUUCACCCGCGCCUACGUCCAGCGCCAUGCCACCGGCGCCUUCAAGGACGAGUUCUUCGCCGACUUCGCCGCCUCCAUGAUCAAGAUGGGCAACGCCAACCCGCUCACCGGAAGCCAAGGUGAGAUCAGGAAGAAGUGCAGCGUGGUCAACCAUUAA